rnacentral:rRNA from 1 species
CAAUAAGCGGAGGAAAAGAAACUAACCCAGGAUUCCCCUAGUAAUGGCGAAUGAACAGGGAAGAGCUCAAGCUUGAAUCUAAGGAAUUGUAGUCUAUAGGUGAUAACUCGUGCAGAGCCGGGUAUAAAUCCGUUCUUGGAACUGGGUGCCAGAGAGGGUUAGAGCCCCGUCUUUGACUCGGUGCAUGCGCGUGGCGAGUUAUGGCCAGAGAGUCGGCUUGCUUGGGAAUGCGGGUCAAAAUGGGUGGUAAACUUCAUCUAAAGCUAAAUAUUGGCGAGAGACCGAUAGCGAACAAGUACUGUGAAGGAAAGAUGGAAAGCACUUUGAAAAGAGAGUGAAAAAGGGCCUGAAAUUGUUAAGAGGAUAAGUGGUUGGAGCAUAUCAUAUCUGGCGGCGUCUAAGGGGCCCUUGGGCCCUGUACUAUGCCGUGGGAUUGGUCAGCAUCUAUUCUUGGCGGGGGAGAAUGUCUCGCUUGAUGUUUUCGGACUGACGGAGGGAAGAAACCCUGGUGGGGAUAGAGGCACAAAGGGCGCGCAUAGCGGCCGGCCCGCCGUGCGGGAUACUAGUCGGAGACGAUCCAUUGGCAUUUUCUGUGGCUAGUGUUCUGAUGCGGGGGAGCGCUGGAUCUGCGUCCUAAAGAUGCUGGCACAAAUGGCUUCAACCAGCCCGUCUUGAAACACGGACCAAGGAGUCUAACACAUAUGCGAGUAGUAAGGUGGCAAACCUUGGAUGCGGAAUGAAAGUAACGUGGUGGGAUUCGUGAGAUGCACCAUCAACCGACCCGGAGCAUUUUGUGACAGGUUUGAGUAAGAGCAUAUAUGUUGGGACCCGAAAGAUGGUGAACUACGCCUGAAUAGGGUGAAGCCAGAGGAAACUCUGGUGGAAGCUCGUAGCGGUACUGACGUGCAAAUCGUUCGUCAAAUUUGGGUAUAGGGGCGAAAGACUAAUCGAACCAUCUAGUGGCUG